rnacentral:rRNA from 1 species
UACGUAGGUGGCAAGCGUUGUCCGGAUUUACUGGGCGUAAAGAGCGCGCAGGCGGUCAGAUAAGUCGAAUGUGAAAGCCCCUGGCUCAACUGGGGAGGGUCAUUCGAUACUGUUCGACUCGAAGGCAGGAGAGGGAAGUGGAAUUCCCGGUGUAGUGGUGAAAUGCGUAGAGAUCAGCAGGAACACCCGUGGCGAAGGCGGCCCCCUGGGCCGUACCUGACGCUGAGGCGCGAAGGCUAGGGGAGCGAACGGG